rnacentral:rRNA from 1 species
AUUGAACGCUGGCGGCAUGCCUUACACAUGCAAGUCGAACGGUAACGGGCCUUCGGGUGCCGACGAGUGGCGAACGGGUGAGUAAUACAUCGGAACGUGCCCGAUCGUGUGGGAUAACUAGGCGAAAGCUUUGCUAAUACCGCAUACGAUCUACGGAUGAAAGCAGGGGACCGCAAGGCCUUGCGCGGACGGAGCGGCCGAUGGCAGAUUAGGUAGUUGGUGGGAUAAAAGCUUACCAAGCCGACGAUCUGUAGCUGGUCUGAGAGGAUGAUCAGCCACACUGGGACUGAGACACGGCCCAGACUCCUACGGGAGGCAGCAGUGGGGAAUUUUGGACAAUGGGCGCAAGCCUGAUCCAGCCAUGCCGCGUGCAGGAUGAAGGCCUUCGGGUUGUAAACUGCUUUUGUACGGAACGAAAAGCCUUCUUUUAAUACAGGAGGGUCAUGACGGUACCGUAAGAAUAAGCACCGGCUAACUACGUG